rnacentral:rRNA from 1 species
AGUCACUGACAUUAGAUACCCCUGUAUCCAGGGUGUAAACGCUGCAGACUUGGUGUUGGGAACCCUUCGGGGGUGCUCAGUGCCGGAGAGAAGUUGUUAAGUCUGCUACUUGGGAGUACGUCCGACAAGGAUGAAACUUAAAGGAAUUGGCGGGGGAGCACCGCAACGGGAGGAGCGUGCGGUUUAAUUGGAUUCAACGCCGAAAACUCACCAGCAGCGACUGUUACAUGAAAGUCAGGUUGAUGACCUUACUAGAUUUUCAG